CCUACGGGCGGCAGCAGUGGGGAAUAUUGGGCAAUGGGCGCAAGCCUGACCCAGCAACGCCGCGUGAAGGAAGAAGGCUUUCGGGUUGUAAACUUCUUUUGUCAGGGACGAAGCAAGUGACGGUACCUGACGAAUAAGCCACGGCUAACUACGUGCCAGCAGCCGCGGUAAUACGGAGGUGGCAAGCGUUAUCCGGAUUUACUGGGUGUAAAGGGCGUGUAGGCGGGACUGGAAGUCAGAUGGGAAAACCACGGGCUCAACCUGUGGCCUGCAUUUGAAACUGUAGUUCUUGAGUACUGGAGAGGCAGACGGAAUGCGUGGUGUAGCGGUGAAAUGCAUAGAUAUUAGGAAGAACACCAGUGGCGAAGGCGGUAUGCUGGACAGCAACUGACGCUGAGGCGCGAAAGCGUGGGGAGCGAACAGGAUUAGAUACCCUUGUAGUC
rnacentral:rRNA from 1 species